rnacentral:misc_RNA from 1 species
GUAUGCACGGGAUAAAAAGUCAAGUUUGAAUGUGGAUGCUGCAAAGGAGGAGAUAAAGUUGAUCAAAGAGCAGGAGGAACAGGCGAUGAGGGAGGCUCUUGGUUUAGCUCCAAAGACUUCUGGCAGAUCUCAUGGCAAUCGCCUCGAUAAGCACGAGUUCUCAGAACUUGUGAAGCGAGGCAGCACUGCAGAAGACUUGGGCGCGGGCCACGCUGAAGCUGCACGGGUUCAGGGUCUUGGUUUUUUGAGAGCACCACGUGCUUGGGAAGAUUCUAGUUCUCUUCAGCCUGCUCAAACGGGCACCUCUGCUAGUAUGGAGAAAACAGAUGUCCCUGACCUGCCUGCUAGGAAUGCAAAAGAAGAGGAAGUGGAGGAUGAAAAGAACAGCAAGAAAAGGAGGCGCGAAGAGAGAC